rnacentral:rRNA from 1 species
UACGGAGGGGGCUAGCGUUGUUCGGAAUUACUGGGCGUAAAGCGCGCGUAGGCGGCUUUGUAAGUCAGAGGUGAAAUCCCGGGGCUCAACUCCGGAACUGCCUUUGAAACUGCAUCGCUUGAAUCCGGGAGAGGCGAGUGGAAUUCCGAGUGUAGAGGUGAAAUUCGUAGAUAUUCGGAGGAACACCAGUGGCGAAGGCGGCUCACUGGUCCAUUACUGACGCUGAGGUGCGAAAGCGUGGGGAGCAAACAGGG